rfam:Helianthus annuus linkage group 11, whole genome shotgun sequence.
GAGAGCACAGUACGAUGAAAGUUGUAAGCUGUGUUCGGGGGGGGGGAGUUAUUGUCUAUCGUUGGCCUCUAUGGUAGAAUCAGUCGGGGGACCUGAGAGGCCGUGGUUUACCCUAC